AAACCUGUAAUCGACAAAAAAACGUAAAAUGAUAAGGAAUUGACUGGUUGAGUGCAUAUGUUUUCUUCAGACAUAAAAUAAGCAAAAUGCAUGGAUGUACUUGGCACUGUAAUUUAUGAUUCACUAUAGAGCACAAACUAUAGCAAGCUCAUAUCAAAUCAGAGUAGGUCAAUAGGUGCCUUCCAAUUUUUGUCAGUUUGAAAAGAUAAUUUUCGAGAAUCCUGUGUUUAAACAGUACAUAUUCAUCAUGAUGUCUAUUACACUAGCAGAUGGCCAUGCGUUAUUUGGAUGACAAAUCUGGUUCAGAAAUAAGGUCACUGCUUUCUAAUGGAAGACUAAGAGCUAAUGUAUUAUGUUGGCUAUAAAAUAGGAGAGGAGGAAGAUGGAGCUCAGUCGAUGGCAGAUUUCCCCUAUGUCGCAUGGACUGGUUCCCAUGGUGGCAAGGGCUCUGCUCGACUAGGGUUUGGUGGUCGAAGCCCCUCUCUGGUCUAUUCAUUGCUAUACUUCCUAAUGUAAUAUUAGGCCACUUUUACAUAUCAGGUGUCAUCUACUCUCUCCGUCCCAAAAUAAACCAACCUCGUACUAGGAAGUGUCAUAUACUAGUACGGGAUUGACUUAUUUUGGGACGGAGGGAGUAGAUAACUAGGAAACAUGAGAUAAACUACAAAAUAUUUAUAUGGCACAUCUUUAGCUGGAUGUGUAGUGUGGACUCUGUAGCUAC